rnacentral:rRNA from 1 species
GAAGAACCUUACCUACUCUUGACAUCCAGAGAACUUAGCAGAGAUGCUUUGGUGCCUUCGGGAACUCUGAGACAGGUGCUGCAUGGCUGUCGUCAGCUCGUGUUGUGAAAUGUUGGGUUAAGUCCCGCAACGAGCGCAACCCUUAUCCUUUGUUGCCAGCGGUCCGGCCGGGAACUCAAAGGAGACUGCCAGUGAUAAACUGGAGGAAGGUGGGGAUGACGUCAAGUCAUCAUGGCCCUUACGAGUAGGGCUACACACGUGCUACAAUGGCAUAUACAAAGAGAAGCGACCUCGCGAGAGCAAGCGGACCUCAUAAAGUAUGUCGUAGUCCGGAUUGGAGUCUGCAACUCGACUCCAUGAAGUCGGAAUCGCUAGUAAUCGUGGAUC